AGUCAGCCUGUGCUUUGAAGCUUUCGAGCCAGGCAUUGACUUCUCUCUAGCUAAGAAAGUCCGAGAUGGCAU
ensembl:miRNA